UCUGCCAAGUUUUCCUCAACAACUGGCUAACUCUAACCAACUACAAGCUUAGGCAACUCUAACUAAGCACUCCUCUCAUCACAGGAAAACACUACUCUUGUAGCAUGAGUAGUUCGAUUACAAAUCAGUACUCAAGAACACUCACUCUCUCUUUAAGCAUAUUACAAAGAUAAGAAUAUGAGCAAUGCUUGAGCAAUCUUAAAAUAGAGUUUCUGCUGCCUCACUCCACUCUUUAGAUUUGUGCAAAAAACUCAAUUUGAUGAAGAGACGUCUCUUUCCUUUUAUAGCUGAGUGAUGAUUAGGGCUGAAAGAUUAUUGGACCAGCUGUCCUAAUCAGUACAAAGUAGCACUUGCAAGUUUGUUACAUAAGAUGACAAAAGUGUGCAGGCAACGCGUGUCAGCUGUACUGUACCUUGCACAUCCAAGGACCUGGUCCCUUACAGUUAGCUGCUCAUCAUCAAAACUACAUAUAGCAAUUUUCCCCCUUUUGAUGAUGACAAACCAACCACACAGUUUUGAUUAUCAAUGCACAUUUAUCAUAUUUAAUUAGUGUUAUUACCACCUGAAGAUGAAUGUUCCCCCUAUCAUCAUGCAACACAGGGACCUGGUCCCUUGUUGUUAUUUGUAGCAAAAACUUCUUGUUUGCUUCCCCCUAUCAUUGUACCUUAUCAUUCAAUUAGCACAUCACUUACUUUCCCCUAUCAGCAUGAACCACACAUGAGCACACCCUAUUAGCAUGCACCACAUAUGAGCACACUUACACAUUACAUGGUAUCUGGUCUCUGCACACCACACUCAUCAUAGUUGGUCCUUAUACAUGAAGUCAUAUUCCCCCUUUUAGCAUCAUUGAAAAAGAUUAACAGUAAACCAUAAGUAAAGAUAGGUGCAGGCUAAUUAACUUAUAACCACUGGGGCAACACUAACAUAAAGUACAACUUUAAAGUAAAGGAAACAAAUGAGGCACUCAAGAAGAAAUUCAUUCAUUAUCCAUUAAGAUCAGUACCAGUACAAUGUACCAAAAAUUUAUAAAACAACUAUUUGUAAAAAUCUUUGUUGACACCUAAUUUUUUCCCUCCACGACUAAAUUUAAUCAUGGGUUUCUUCAAUUUUAAAUAAAAUUAUAAUAUUUAUUUUAUUCAAAUAAAAAGGGCUUUUCAAAAUAUUUAUCUGGGCAACUUUUACCAUUUUAAGUAAAGUAUAUAUUUUAUCAUAUUUUAAUUAUACGAAAUUAUAUAAUGUUGUUACUUAAAUAUUUAUUCUACAGAAUAUUGGAUUUUAAUUUAGGAUUAUCCUAAAAAUAAAUAUGAUGAUUAAAAUCUUGAUUUAAAUGUAAUUUGUUCUUAAAAAUAAUUUAUUUGGAGAAAUACUUGUUUGAUUUUACUAAAUCAAGAAGCCUGGGAUUAAAGGGAGAAUUAAUUCGAAUAGAAUUUCAAUUCAAUUUAACCAUUCUAUUAGAUUUGAUCAUAAUUGAAACUAAAUUGACAACAAUUGCAAUGCAAUUGACCAAUCAACUUUUAAUUUGGUCAAAAUUUAAAUAAAAUAUGCUAAAUCUUAAUUGAAAUUAUUUUUGAAUAACCUUUAGUCUAAUUUAGAUUAUUUUUUCUAAAUAAUUCUUAAAUUACCAAUUUCCUAAUUUAAUUAGGGUUAUUUUAACCCAAUCAAAUCUAAUUGGGGUUAUUUUAACCCAAUUAGAUUUAAUUGGGGUUAUUUUAACCCCAAGUAAAUCUAACUAGGCUUAUUUAAUAUCCUCAAUUAUUAACCCAAUUCUGCAAGCCCACUCCCCAUCCAAUUAGCGCAACAACACUUCCAACACCAAUGGCCUAAUCUCCCAAACCGACCCAGCCCAAUCAUCUUUUCCCCUUCACCAUCAGCCAACAUACGACUUCCAACACAAUAAAUAACAACAUCAUCACUGACAACUCCAAAUAGAAGUAAACAACGGCUUAAACCUAACUUUGAUGACUACAUCAAAUCGACCCGAACCCGACCUCCAAUCUAAUAGUUUCAACCAAUUGGUUCCAAACCGCGUCGACCCGCCAACAACCCAACCUUAACCUGCUUAGGUGGCAUGUGAUUUCAUACGAAAAAGUUAAGAAUCUUCUAGAAAUUGAUGAGUUAGCUCAGCCAACGUUCAAAUUUGUUGUUUGUUGGAAUAGAGUCAUAUGAAUUCGUACACAUUUGUGCGAAUUCUUUUGGCUUUGGAGAUAUAUUAUUUUCCCUAAAUUCUCAUUGGCAGAACUCAUUCAAAUUCUUCAAAAGAUCCAAAAUCAGUAAAAUUUGAAGGAGAAAUUUGAUUACCAGAAAAAGGGUUGAAAAUAUUCUUGUUUGAAAAUUCUGAAAUUACCCCAUUCGAAUUAAUCGCUCAUCGAUUGAGACCUAAGGAGAGAACCCCCAAUUUUUUCUAUAAAAUCUCAUAGUGAGCUGAAAAUAUACGAGUCAGGGGAAGGGAAAAAGAACCCCCGAGCAGAAAAAAUAUCUUGAAAUCAUUGAUAAAUUUUGAGUAAGGAAGCUUUUGAUUGAAAAUUUUCUUUUUCUUUAAAAGUUUUAACUUACCGGUGGUGAUGAGGAAACUCCGUCAAAGGCUCGAGUCACGUUUUGAUGCCCCUAAGGAGGUAAAAUUCUCGACACUUUAUUUUCG
rnacentral:lncRNA from 1 species